rnacentral:rRNA from 1 species
GACGAACGCUGGCGGCGUGCUUAACACAUUCAAGUCGAGCGGUAAGGCCCUUUCGGGGGUACGACGAGCGGCGAACGGGUGAGUAACACGUGGGUGACCUGCCCUCAGCUCUGGGAUAAGCCUGGGAAACCGGGUCUAAUACCGGAUAUGACUCCAUGACGCAUGUUGUGGGGUGGAAAGCCUUGUGCGGCUGAGGAUGGGCCCGCGGCCUAUCAGCUUGUUGGUGGGGUGAUGGCCACCAAGGCGACGACGGGUAGCCGGCCUGAGAGGGCGACCGGCCACACUGGGACUGAGACACGGCCCAGACUCCUACGGGAGGCAGCAGUGGGGAAUCUUGCGCAAUGGGCGAAAGCCUGACGCAGCGACGCCGCGUGAGGGAUGACGGCCU